ACUUCCAGAAAAGGGAGGUGAAUCACAAAGGAUUGCUUAAGAACCAAGCCUUUCCUAGCCAAAGCUUAUCUUAGGUACUCUUACACCAAACCUCUCAAAAGGAACGAAAAUUGAAAUUAAAGUAAACACACACUAAACUACCAAUAUUAAGGAAAACAAUAAAUCUAAACUAUGCGGCCUAAUGAUGAAUUAGAACAAUAAAUAUCCAAUGUUCUUGUUAGGACAAAUCUCUAACAAGUCAAAAAUACAAGUCCAAAAAGGAAAACAACUACAAUUUUACAAUUCAAAGAAAAUACAAACAAAUCUCUCUUUCUCACCAAGUGUAUACUCUCUUGUUUUGCGUUAUAGACCAAGACUUUAAGCUUCCCUUCAAGGCCUUCUUCACCUCUAGAUGUUACUCACUGUUUUGGGCUGUCCUCCCCAUGAUCCUCACGUUUUUUUACCAUCCAAAGACCUACACCACAAGUUAACAC
rnacentral:lncRNA from 1 species